UACGUAGGGUGCGAGCGUUAAUCGGAAUUACUGGGCGUAAAGGGUGUGCAGGCGGUUUUGCAAGAUGGAUGUGAAAGCCCCGGGCUUAACCUGGGAAAGCCAUACAUGACUGCAAGACUAGAGUGCGUCAUAGGGGGGUGGAAUUCCAAGUGUAGCAGUGAAAUGCGUAGAUAUUUGGAAGAACACCGAUGGCGAAGGCAGCCCCCUGGGACGCAACUGACGCUCAUACACGAAAGCGUGGGGAGCAAACA
rnacentral:rRNA from 1 species